rnacentral:rRNA from 1 species
CAUUAUCGAGUUUAUUGGACGGGUUGUCGCUGGCCUUUACCGGCAAUGUGCACGCCUGGCUCAAUUUUCCACUCUUUAACCACUGUGCACUUUUUGUAAGAUUGGCUGUAGGGGAAUUAUAUUUACUCUCUUGGUAACACAUGAGACGAAAGUAUAUAUUGCCUGAAGGCCUCUCUUAUGUUUACUACAAACGCUUCAGUUAUUAGAAUGUCAUACUUGUGUUAUAACACAUUUAUAUACAACUUUCAGCAACGGAUCUCUUGGCUCUCGCAUCGAUGAAGAACGCAGCGAAAUGCGAUAAGUAAUGUGAAUUGCAGAAUUCAGUGAAUCAUCGAAUCUUUGAACGCACCUUGCGCUCCUUGGUAUUCCGAGGAGCAUGCCUGUUUGAGUGUCAUGGAAUUCUCAACUCAUUAGAUUUUUUUCUAAUGCAGCUUGGACUUGGAGGUUGUGUCGGUUUUUAAUAAUCGACUCCUCUUAAAUGCAUUAGCGUGAAUUCUUACGGAUCGCCUUCAGUGUGAUAAUUAUCUACGCUGUGGUGUGAAGUAUCAUUAUGUUCACGCUUAUAAUCGUCUGUUCAUCAGACAAUUUAUUAUGACAUCUGACCUCAAAUCAGGUAGGACUACCCGCUGAACUUAAGCAUAUCAAUAAGCGGAGGAAAAGAAACUAACAAGGAUUCCCCUAGUAACUGCGAGUGAAGCGGGAAAAGCUCAAAUUUAAAAUCUGGCAGCUUUUGUUGCCCGAGUUGUAGUCUAGAGAAGCGUCUUCCGCGUUGGACCGUGUAUAAGUCUCUUGGAACAGAGCGUCAUAGAGGGUGAGAAUCCCGUCUUUAACACGGACUACCAGUGCUUUGUGAUGCGCUCUCAAAGAGUCGAGUUGUUUG